rnacentral:lncRNA from 13 species
CACUUCCUCUGUGCUAGCAAGGCUGCAGUAAAUUGCUAUUAAAACAAAUUCAGCCUCUUAGUUGCUACCAUCUUGCCAUUAGGUAAAGUUCCAGACCCAUUAAUCAACCUCUCUGUUUCUCUCAUCAACAUGGCUCACCCUUCCCAGCCUCUGAUAUCUCUCAUUCUACUCUCUACCUCUAUGAGAUCAACUUUUUAGUUCCCACGUGUGAGGUCCUAAUCAGGAUAUCACAUUGUAUUUACUAA